CUCUUCUAGGAUCGAACUUACAACGUUGUGGCCGCAGGACUGGCAUUUAACCACUGCACCAACAGGACUCCUCUUAGACGGACCCAUCCUAUCCUCCUAUUUGGAGCAAGGACAGGCUACCAAGUAUACACAUUUCUCAAAGGGGUACAGCAAACAUGGUGAUACUCAAUGGGCUUCGUAGCCAUGCUCAAAAUGGAGGACAUUUUGGAAUUCCUCCUGGACAGAAGUUCAAAAUGUAGGACACAUCUUGGAGAAGCAGGACCUCUUUUUACCCUGCGCUUUCAUCCUCAUGGAAGACACUCAACGCUGCAGAGCCAACCACCCAAGAGUUGGCAUUUUUCCUACCUUCUUCCUAUCCGGAGGAUUCUCUACUUCCAGAUUUAUUCUCAAGGGUACACAGUUCCAUACCUGACACAUUAAGUAGUCUAUUCUUGUUCUUUCCUUUGUGUCCACUUCUAAAGUUGGUUCUUAAAUGGGUGCAUUGAGGGUAGCAUAAUUCCAGCCUCGCCUCUAGCAAGCUUUUUGUCUUGGUAAGAUAAUAACCAUAUCCAUCUCGUAAUUUCUAACAACACUGGCAUGCGAGGGCUGCGCUGUUAUUAUAUCCCUGUUGAUGGUUCUUAAAAGCAGCCAGUGUAAAUUACUUAUAAUAUUCAUUAAAGCCACACGAGCGCAAAUCCAUAAUAAGCACGUCUCCUUUUCAGAGGCAGUUUCCCAGAGGCUGCUGUACAAAAUCCGUUCGGAAAGGCGCCAAAAGGGAAGCGAAGAAAAGAUUUCCUACCUUGUGAUAUUAUAUGCAAAUAGCCACAACAUUACAGUCUGCAAUGUGUGAAGGAACAACCUUUUCUCAUGUGCCAGGGAGUUCCUUCAACCCUGCUCCUUUCUCUGCUCCUUUUAUUGCUCCCCGGCCAAUACUAAUGGACCACUGAGCCAGUUUAUAGGUCAACACUGAUAUAUGGCGGCACUAUGAAUGAGUGAUCUUCAUGGGACACAAUUGUCAGCAGUCCUGCUGAGGUCUUUCAAAGUCAGGGUCAUGGCUUAUUUGAUUGAAUCAAUCCACCUGAAAUGAAGUCUUCCUCUUUCCCUAGUGCCUUCCACUUUACCAAGCAAGAUCAUCUUUUCCAUAAUCCAAGGUAUCCAUAGAACUCCUUUAACUGCCGUUGAGGACAUUGUUCCAUCAUCAGUGCUGAAGAAAGCUUCAUCUGCCAAUCCAGUCAAGGUUUGUACCUGGAAUGGAAGGCAGCCCCAUCUUGUUCCUUCUUCCAUCAAGCAGCAGCAUGUUUUGGGUUGUUCCUGGGCCCAAUAAAUUUAGCUGUCUGAAGUACUCUCCAACUCAUCCCUUCAACCCAUGGGAGCUGAUAUCUUAGCAAGUCUUACUCCAUCAUUCAGUCACCAAUUCCAGUCUCCUUGUGUUCCUCCAACCGCACCUAUGAUGCACCUGAAACACAUUGU